UAGAAUCAUUUCGGUGCAUAAGGUCCAUUGCAUAACCUACAUUCCUUGGCAUCACGUGAUGAAUCAUGGCAGAAUUAGGGAAGGCAAACAACGGUGCAACGAACAAACGAUUGAGGAGCACUCCGACUAGAAGGACUCCUGUAAAUAGGCCUAAAAGACGUCCUGCUGUCUCUGAUGCUUCCAUCAAAGGUAUUCAAUUAGUAUAGCGGCGUGGUGAACAGAAGGAGAAGGUUUUCGAGUUGAGGCUGUUUCUCGGGACCAUCAUUCAUUGCGUAGCACCAGUCCACUAUUCCUAACUUUUAAUUUUGUGGCGUUCUAUUUGGUUUGUGAUAACAUCAGCCCACUUUUCCACCUAGUUCCACCUGUAUGUUACUACUUCAUGUACAAUUACAGCUGGCUCUUAUUAACUCACCUCUAUGUGGUGAAGAGGCUGCUUUCUGAACGAUUUCAAGUUGAAUCUGUUUUUCAGUCAUUCAAUAGUGAGAGACUGUAUAUAUCUUAAUAUAUCACCAAUUGAUGGCACCUCAUUGAAAUGCCUCCUCCACUCAAGGGGUAUCAAUAAUCGUUAUAUUGGGAAGAUUGCAAUGCUAGCCAAGUCAAGGGAAGAUCUGGACCACUUACAUGUAAGUCAA